rnacentral:lncRNA from 1 species
CACUUACUCUGGGGGAAGCCAGCCGCCAUGUUGUGAGGAGACCCAAGCAGCCCUUGGAGAAGCUGCAAGGUGAGGAGCCGAGUCCGCCUGCCAACCAUCAGCACCAGCUUGCUAACUAUGAUAUGUCCUGCUUCAUGAUCGUGAGAACCAAAAUAAAUUCACAAUUCCUCUGUUAGUCACAAUACCAGGAUUUCUGAGUGCCCAUCCUAGUGACAGUGAGAGGGCCGUCUUUUCGCUUCCUAAGGUAAGUCCAGGGAUCCCAGAGUGUCUACCAGUCCAAAGGAGGCCAUCCUGGUUAGUUGUUCCUCGUGAAAGAGGAAACCAGAAAAACUGGUUUAGCCACUGAAGGGUGCCCAGUUCUCAACCGCACAGGCUUCCCCACACCAGAAAUUCCAGCAGUUUCUCAGAGAAUAUCUGAGGAAAUGAAAUAUUGUCUUCGCAAAACACCCAGGGACCCAUCCUGAAGGAACAACCGAAGGAUGUCCCAACUUGUUAGAACAAAGAAUUCCAGGCUGUUGGUAUAGGCUGUCCUCCUGGGAUGCUGAGUCAGGUCGCAUGCUUCCUGGGAAAGAAAGGGAGAUUCAGGUUGUGCCGAUAGUGUGGGGACUUCUCCUGGCCCGUCUGGGCUUGCCAUUCCCCCCGGCCUCUGAGGCUUUUGUGAUUCUUCCUCCCUCUUCUGCCUUCUAAGUCUCCACGUGCUCUUCCCUCCAUCAUCUCAGCUUCUUUCCACCAUACCUCACUGCCCAAGGUGCUCAGAAACCAAGGCCUUUUCCCCCAGGAUCCCCUUCCAUAUAGUCCCACUCUUUUCUCUCAACGAUUCCUCUUUCAGGAAAUUCCUGAGGGGCUUGACUAUAGCACCGUGGGGACCUCUGUUUCAGAGAUGGUGUGGGGGUGAGGGCAGGGACCCUCACCCUAACUCACUUCCCACCUCCCAUGACAGGAGGAAGGUUUGCUUCCACUGUCCUGGACCCAGCAUUCAAGGACGGGCCUAGGAGCCAGGGCAGGACCCCAGUGGGACUGAUGUGCCCUCCAGUGGCCCCACGCCACAACCGCAUCACCACUCUCAUGCCCCAGUGCAGACCUCACUGCCACAAUGGCCCUCAGGACCCUGCCUGCCCACCUCCAUCCCUGGGCUGGCUGCCUCUACCCUUGAGCGUAGGUUACAGCUGAGGAGGGAAGCGAGGUCACUUGGGAGCUCUUUGUCUCUUGCACUGAGUUUGUAGUUAUUCCCACUACAUUCCGGAGAACUUUUUUUUUUUUUUUUAAAGAUUUUAUUUUUUUCCUUUUCCUCCCCAAAGCCCCUCUGGUACAUAGUUGUAUAUUCUUCGUUGUGGGUCCUUCUAGUUGUGGUAUGUGGGACGCUGCCUCAGCGUGGUUUGAUGAGCAGUGCCAUGUCCGCGCCCAGGAUUCGAACCAACGAAACACUGGGCCGCCUGCAGCGGAGCGCGCGAACUUAACCACUUGGCCACGGGGCCAGCCCCCAUUCCGGAGAACUUUUAAGACCCCUGGGAAGGGCUGGGGAGGUGCCUUUUACGCUCCAGGCUCUGUGAGCUUCUAGGAAGGCCAGAGAAAUGGUCAGGCCUGGGGUGGCAUCUCAGCCAUCCUUGGGCCUCGAGGGAUGGAGGCACGGCCUUCCCGCACAGCCAGAACGGCCCCAGAAGAGGAGUCUGCUUUCUCCCCUGGGAAAUGGGAAUAAUAAGAGCAUAAAAGGAGGUAAAACCUUUUAUUCAGCCUUUGAAAGGUGAAUUUUCCCGGAGGAGUGGGCACACUGGUAG